CUACGGGUUGCUCCAGUGAGGAAUUUUGCGCAAUGGGCGAAAGCCUGACGCAGCAACGCCGCGUGAGUGAUGAAGGCCUUCGGGUCGUAAAGCUCUGUCAAGUGGGAAGAACCUAUGUAAUGUUAAUAUCAUUAUAUACUGACGGUACCACUGAAGGAAGCACCGGCUAACUCCGUGCCAGCAGCCGCGGUAAUACGGGGGGUGCAAGCGUUAUUCGGAAUCAUUGGGCGUAAAGGGCACGUAGGCGGCCUGGUAAGUCAGAUGUGAAAGCCCGGGGCUUAACCCCGGAAGUGCAUUUGAUACUGUCAGGCUUGAGUAUGGGAGAGGGAAGUGGAAUUCCUGGUGUAGAGGUGAAAUUCGUAGAUAUCAGGAGGAACACCGGUGGCGAAGGCGACUUCCUGGACCAAUACUGACGCUGAGGUGCGAAGGCGUGGGUAGCAAACAGGAUUAGAUACCCGAGUAGUC
rnacentral:rRNA from 1 species